UCUGAGUAAUCCCCUCCCCCCUUCUUCCCCUUUUCCCUAACCUAAUCUGAGCAUUCGGCGCCAACCUCCAUUCACCCACCAAGGCCACCAUAGCCACCCACAGCCAUCCACAGCAGCCGCGACCACCACCGGCCGAGCCCGCCUCCUCGUCGCCACCCACAACCAUCGACAGCAACAGCGACCACCACCGGCCGAGCCCGCCUCCUCGUCGCCACCCACAACCAUCGACAGCAACAUUGACCACCACCUCGCUGACGCUGAAAAUCUGACUAUGGACGCGUUGAAGAGUGAAGAAGUAUCGGCAGCUGUUUUGUCUUCCACCAGAUGAACUUGAUGGAGCUAUUAAGGAAGCUUUUGAUGUGGCGUACAACAAUAUAUAUGCAUUCCAUGCUGCUCAAAAGACACCUGAGAGAAUUGUUGAGAACUUAAAAGUAUGUAUGCCAUUUCAAUUCUUAUUCUUACUUUGGAUCAUCCAUGUUUUAUUAAGUCAAUUUUUUUAAACAGUUGAAAAUAAAUUACUUAAAGAUAUGUCAAGUGGUGUCCUUUUAUGACAAUUGUUGCUUGCCAACUUUAUUUAGAAAAGGCUAGAUAUUCCUAGAAAGAUUAAAUACAAAAUAUGUGGAAGAUUUAUUUUGGUUCUAGUUAGAUGUGCAUUACUGCCCCUGAUUUAUGGAUUUUCACCAUUAUGUUUGUGCCAAGUUCUUUGAUUUUGUAAUUAUGCUUAUGUGUUUGUUCAUUCUUGGGGUGUUACACCAAUAUUUUUGCUUUGAGUCUUCUGAAAAUACUAGGAAAUUCAAUGCAAGCGAGCUGCAAGAAGUAUUGAUUCUGUGGGUCUUUAUGUUCCACGAGAAACUGCUGUAUUACCAUCAACAGCUUUGAUGCUUUCUAUUGUAAGUGAAAUUUUUUAUCAAACUUGAAUCAGUUGGAUGUUGGCAUGUUUAUGUUUGAUUGGCUGUUUUUGUUAUUUGACUUUUAAGUUUGUAUUUGAAUGAGAUCAUAACAUUCUGAUUUAUGUAACACUUUUAAUUGGGAUGAUAUUUUCAGAUUUAUAUUAGACUAUAAUUAUGUUUUAAUGUGUUUAUUUAUAUUUUAUUUACUAUUUUAUUAUAAAACGAUUUUU